rnacentral:misc_RNA from 1 species
GCUCGGAGGAAGCCGAGCCAGCGGCCGGCGGCCGAGAGAGCGCGCGCCCCCGCGCGCCCCCGCAGGAAGCAGCGGACGGCGACUGCAGGAAUCGCGCCUAUCGAUCUCCCGGCGGCGCGAGGGCCCGUCGCCGACGUCGCAAGCCGCCGGGCCUCCUCCUGUGUUCCGCCGUUGCCGGCGGCGGCGGCUCCUUCCUACUGCUGCUCCUCACGGGCCGCGGGGGCAGCGGCGGGGGGCGCAACAUGGCGGCCGAGGAGAACGCCGCCACCAAGGUGGACCACCCGGCCGAGACGGUCGAGUCGCUGACGCGGGAGAUCGAGCAGCUCAAGGCGAGGCUCGAGGAAGAGCGCAAGAAGAUCAACGACGUCAGUGUAACCUCGUUGGCCGGCAAAGUGGAGCCCAUCAAGGACGUGAACAUCAAGCUGCGCAGGGUGCUCAAGGGCCACCAGGGAAAAGUGCUCUGCUCCGACUGGUCGCAGGACAAGCGACACAUCGUCAGCUCGUCCCAGGAUGGCAAGAUGAUUAUAUGGGACGCCUUCACUACGAACAAGGAGCACGCUGUGACGAUGCCAACAACCUGGGUUAUGGCCUGCGCGUAUGCGCCGUCGGGGAACAUGGUCGCCUGUGGUGGGUUGGACAACAAGGUGACAGUGUACCCGCUCAGCUUCGAGGAGGAAGUAUCCUCCAAGAAGAAAGCAGUCGGGACGCACACUAGCUACAUGUCCUGCUGCCUCUUCCCAAACUCGGACCAACAGAUCCUGACGGGCAGCGGUGACAGUACGUGCGCGUUGUGGGACGUGGAGUGUUCGCAACUGCUCCAGAGUUUCCACGGCCACUCCGCCGACGUCAUGGCACUCGACCUGUCGCCUACAGAGAUGGGCAACACUUUCGUCUCCGCAGGCUGUGACAGGCAAGCGCUCGUGUGGGACAUGCGGUCAGGACAGUGCGUGCAGUCCUUCCAGGGGCACGAAUCGGAUAUAAACACCGUCAAGUUCUACCCGAGUGGAGAUGCCAUCGCCACCGGCUCGGAUGACGCCACCUGUCGACUCUACGAUCUACGUGCUGACAGGGAAGUAGCCGUUUAUUCCAAGCAGAGUAUCAUCUUCGGCGUUAACUCAGUGGACUUCUCAGUGAGCGGUCGCUUACUCUUCGGCGGCUACAACGACUACACGGUCAAUGUGUGGGAUACACUCAAGUGCGUGCGACUCAGCAUCCUCUACGGUCACGAGAACCGCGUCACCUGCCUCAAGGUGUCGCCCGACGGAACCGCGCUCUCCACCGGCAGCUGGGACUUCACGCUCAGGGUAUGGGCCUAAGUAGACGAACAGGUACGAGAACAUCUCGACCUCAAAUGCAGCCGGGCGCACCUCGACAGCCUCCACUGGCGCCGCGAAUGAUUGUCCGCGCGGAGAAUAAAGCGCCUCCCCCAGCUGAAUGGGCCGACGCCGCACCGGCGAAGAGGAAACAGGAGAUGCCAGGACUUCCUCUAACUUCCGUCGUGACAUUUCAAAUCGGGGUUGCUGUGGAGAGACUGAGAUAAAGAGCACCUCGGCUACUCCAUUUCUCUAUGUUAUGCAGCAAGAAAUAAAAAAAAGGAAUACAUGACAAUGCUAAAAUA